rnacentral:rRNA from 1 species
CAUGAAGCCCCCCUCAAGAUGAGAUUUCCCAUAGCGCAAGCUAGUAAGAACCCUGAAAGAUGAUCAGGUUGAUAGGUCAGAGGUGGAAGCGUGGUAACAUGUGGAGCUGACUGAUACUAAUCGUUCGAGGACUUAACCAA